UGCCUCUCCGGACGUUUUUUUUUUCUCACGGCGCCUCUCCGCUUACCCGCCGCGAUACCCACCCCACCCCGCUGAUCACGUACGCCCUCUUCGCCUGCAUCCCACCCGGGGUAAUCGCGAGUCAAUCCCGCCCGAGAAUGCGUGAUCCAGGCCUGGCGCUCGUCGCCCCAUCGGCCUCCUCCGCAGACCCCAUCCAUCCUCUCGGCGGCGGCCGCUUGGCACGGGGCGGCCUCCGAGCGAGCCUCGCGCGGCCUCUCACAGGCGCCAGCCGAGCGCCGCUCCUUGGCGCGGCCCACCUUGCAUGCUCUCCUCCCGCGGGGAUUUGGCGCUCGUCGGGGGUGGGAGCGCCGCGGCCGGGGACGCCGGACGACGCCUAGCUGGGCUCAAGCGGGAUGGCGAUGGGAGCGCGGAGAUGAGGCGUGCAUCGGGCUCGUCUCGAUGCGGAUCGGAGACGGGAUCGCAUAGAUCGACUUGCGCCGCCUUCUUCAUCAACCCUGGAAUGGAGAUUGUGGCACGUCUCAUGCUUCAGAAAUGAUCCGGAUGUUCCAACUAUGAUGGCAGCUUCAAGUAUAUUGCGCAAUUAGAGAGCUCCAGUGCUGCGGUGGGGAAAGAGGAGGAGGUGGGAAGUUCAAAUGGGGGUGCAGGAGCGGAAUUUCAAGGACAUGGGUUGGUUCCUGCAAGUGCAGAAGGCAAGUAUGUCUUAUUUGCUGCAUCCUAACCGGUGUGUAUUUUCUUUCAAAAAAAAACCUGUGUGUAUUUUUCUUAGAAUUUAAUUGACGCAGAUAGUACUUAGAGAAUUUUUUUCUUAGAAAAUAGCUCUAAGCAAUUCCAUUUCCUCCUCUCCUCUACAUUUCAAGCUUGGCAUUCCAUUUGCAUUCCAUUAUGUUUAAUUGCUGGAGCAUAGUACUUACUUUGUUAAACAAUAUUAUUCUGUUUCAUGCUACUGUGGAAAUUUGCUUGGUAUUUCACACGUGUUGUCUGUAACAUGUCCUCUUUUACUACAAUACAUGUACAGAUCUUAGCAACCACUAACAUUUGUUUCACUCUGAUUACUUUUGAAGAAAGUGGUGCUAGAUCAUGUCUGAAGAAAAGAAACUGUACUCAAGUCAAGUGCAUUGAGUAUUAGGAAAGAAAUUUCAAGUAAUCAGGGAGCAAUGCCUGACUCAUCUGUCAACAUUAUAGUGACAUUGUUUGACUGAGCUUGCCUGGUCUUUGUACUGAGGUAUUGUUGUUACUAUCUCUUGCCUGGACUAGUGGACUUUGUACUGAAGUAUUGUUUUCAUCACAGGUAAACCCUGAUAUGGUUCCAGAGUUUAAAGGCACAUUUGUAAAAAAGGCAUUUCAUCUCAGCCAGGAGACACAUCAUAAGGCUGAGCUCAUGGAGAGAUCUCCUGUGGCUACCCUACAGAAAAUGAGGAUUACCUCUCUAGUGGUUCUCCGUCAGCAAGGACUCCGAUGGUGGAGGUCCUUAUGCCGUUGCUCAGAAUUUCUCCAAGAGACAAACGGACUAGAGUUUCCACAUCUGAUUUGGCAAGAAUUAACCUGGCCAAGCGAGCAAAGUAUGCAGUUAGUUCUCCAACUAUCAGGAUUAUCAAUCAAAUGCAAUUGUCUACACCAACAACACAAAGGUCUCCUAGAAGCUCGAUACCUCUGAAUCGAUGUGGUAAGAUUACAAUUUCUAUUAUUGUUAACAAUAUAUUGAUCUGUUGGAAAAUUGGGUUUAUGAUUCAGAUUUAGCACGUAAAGAACUUGUUCAUAUGAUUGUGCUACAUGAACUACCAUUCUCUCUAGUUGAGUAUGAUGGAUUUAGAGAAUUUGUUUCUUCUUUGAAUCCGUUAUUCAAAAUGGUAUCAAGGACAACUAUUAAAUUGGAUUGCAUGAAAGCCUUUGAAGACGCAAAGUUUAAGUUAAGGGAGCUGUUCAAAACUUCCAAUGAUGGAAUUGGAUAAGCUUUUAGUAUAACUUUAGACAAUGCCAAAGUUAACAAUUCAAUGAUGGAUUUGUUGAGAGCUAAUUUGCUACUGAAGAAAAUGCUACCAUGUGAUGGGAAUCUUUUCCAUGUUCGUUGUGGUGCGCAUGUCAUUAACCUGGUAGUUCAGUAUAGGUUAAGAAAAAUCAGUGGUAUAAUGAGCAAUAUUAGAGAGAGUGUGAAGUACAUCAAGAGUUCACAAGCUCGUAGAGAAAAUUUUGAGGAACUAGCUGUACAAAUGGGAAUAUCACUUGAGAAACAGCCCACCCUUGACAUCUAUAUAAGGUGGAACUCUAUAUAUCUCAUGCUUCAAUCUGCAUAUCAAUUUAAGACUGUUUUUGAUGAACUGGGAAAGCAAGACAAAAGUUUCAUUACUGCACCAACAUUGGCUGAAUGGAUAAGGUCUAAAGCUGCUCGUGAAUUCUUGAAGACAUUUUAUGAUGCCACCAAUCAGCUGUUCCAUAGAGGGCAUGGUUGGCUGGAGCGGGGUGUUAAAAGGGAGAUCGACAUUCGUGAAGAUCACAUCAAGCCAUAUGGACAGCCACAGUGGAGAGGCGUCCAUGCUGGUGCAACACGAGAAUCCUUGUUGCAAUCACGACCUCAUUGAACGACCCUGCAGGCUGCAUCACGCUUACACAAGAAUCCACCAUUGAACGGUUAUGGGAUGCUGUAGUUCCAGAUGCCUCCUAUUCCUAAUGUGUUGUAUCCUUGCCUUGUUGCAAUCACAUAUUUCCUCAUCACUGUACUUGUUUCUUCCCUGCAAUGUUUCUUUGUUUACACUUUCUACCGACUUUCACGUUAUAUAUCUACUAA